CCUGAGUCCCCAAGGGAUUGGCUAUAGAAUAGCAAAUCCCUUGGACCUUCUUGUUGUACUUAGCCGUAGGCUAAGUACUAGCUUUUGGUUAACUUCCUGGGUUUCAUUGAGUUCACUCAAUUGGCCUGAUAGAGUGAACUCUUGGACCUUCUUGUUGUACUUAGCCGUAGGCUAAGUACUAGCUUUUGGUUAACUUCCUGGGUUUCAUUGAGUUCACUCAAUUGGCCUGAUAGAGUGAACUCAAUGACUAUGAGUAUGAUAUAACCCCCCGAGGGCCUCCUCUCCCUCUGCUUCACCACCCGCAAUGGUAUGGGAUUCUUUGAAAUCAGCUUUUCAGCGGAUUUCAAAUUCCCACCCAGUGUGUUUGCGGUAUGGAGCCAGCGUCAGUCGAGUAUGACAUGUGCUUUUUAGGGCAUGCCACUUUAGCACAGGUAUUUCUACAUACCCCCCACUAUGCCCGAUAUUCUAAGAAAAGUCCCCUUUUACAUAGAAGAGGUCGGAUUAACAUAGCGUUCAUAUCCUAAAGCAACAACCAAUGCCUUCUUGUCAUCUAGCUUUUCUUUUUUAUCGGAGCGAAAGCUAAAGUAGUACUCUAUAACCAAUAGGGUGGAAGUAUAGGCUUUUAGUGACGUCUUCCAAGUCUAUUGAAUUAUAGUACUUUGUCU
rnacentral:lncRNA from 1 species